rnacentral:rRNA from 1 species
AGUGAACGCUGGCGGUAGGCCUAACACAUGCAAGUCGAACGGCAGCACAGUAAGAGCUUGCUCUUACGGGUGGCGAGUGGCGGACGGGUGAGGAAUACAUCGGAAUCUACUUUUUCGUGGGGGAUAACGUAGGGAAACUUACGCUAAUACCGCAUACGACCUACGGGUGAAAGCAGGGGAUCUUCGGACCUUGCGCGAUUGAAUGAGCCGAUGUCGGAUUAGCUAGUUGGCGGGGUAAAGGCCCACCAAGGCGACGAUCCGUAGCUGGUCUGAGAGGAUGAUCAGCCACACUGGAACUGAGACACGGUCCAGACUCCUACGGGAGGCAGCAGUGGGGAAUAUUGGACAAUGGGCGCAAGCCUGAUCCAGCCAUACCGCGUGGGCGAAGAAGGCCUUCGGGUUGUAAAGCCCUUUUGUUGGGAAAGAAAAGCAGCAGGUUAAUACCCCGCUGUUCUGACGGUACCCAAAGAAUAAGCGCCGGCUAACUUCGUG